rnacentral:rRNA from 1 species
CCUACGGGAGGCAGCAGUGAGGAAUAUUGGUCAAUGGGCGGAAGCCUGAACCAGCCAAGCAGCGUGCAGGAUGACGGUCCUACGGGUUGUAAACUGCUUUUGUACGGGAAUAACACGCCGUUCGUUAAGGACCCUGCAUGUACCUUCUGAAUAAGAACCGGCUAAUUCCGUGGCAGCAGCCGCGGUAAUACGGAAGGUCCGAGCGUUAGCCGGAUUUCUUGGGUGUAAAGGGAUCGGCGGCGGGACGUCAAGCCUGCUGUGAAAUGCCCGGGCUCAACCCGGGGCUUGCAGUGGAAACUGGCGGGCUUGAGUGAGGGAGAGGUAGGCGGAAUUCGGAGUGUAGCGGUGAAAUGCUUAGAUAUUGCGAAGAACCCCGAUGGCGAAGGCAGCUAGCUGGAGGGGAACUGACGCUGAGGCUCGAAAGCGUGGGUAUCGAACAGGAUUAGAUACCCGAGUAGUC